GAAGCAGGCCAGACAAUCGCUGGUUGCCGUGUUCACACGGUGACGGGAGGAAGGUCCGGACUCCAUAGAGCGGGGUGACGGCUAACGGCCGUACGUUGAAAGCCAAGGCGCAAGCUGAGGUAUAAGGCGAGGAAUAGGGCCACAGAGACGAGUCUUUGGGGAGUAGCGGGCGCAAGCCUAUGCUAAACCACAAAGGGUGAAACGCGGUAACCUCCACCCGGAGCAAUUUCAAAUAGGCACGCGUUGAGGUGGCUCGCUGAGCGUGCGGGUAGAAAGCUUGAGCGGCGGAGCAAUCCGUCGCCUAGAGGAAUGAUUGUCAUAGCGCGAUGUAGCGAUGCAAAGCGCCGUAACAGAAUCCGGCCUAUCGGCCUGCUUCAUUU
rnacentral:RNase_P_RNA from 1 species